UACGUAGGGGGCAAGCGUUGUCCGGAUUUAUUGGGCGUAAAGAGCUCGUAGGCGGUGUGUCGCGUCGGCCGUGAAAACCUGCAGCUUAACUGUGGGCUUGCGGUCGAUACGGGCAUCACUGGAGUUCGGCAGGGGAGACUGGAAUUCCUGGUGUAGCGGUGAAAUGCGCAGAUAUCAGGAAGAACACCGGUGGCGAAGGCGGCAUCCUGGGACCAUUACUGACGCUGAGGCGCGAAAGCUAGGGGAGCAAACGGGA
rnacentral:rRNA from 1 species